rnacentral:rRNA from 1 species
GAUGAACGUUGGCGGUGUGCCUAAUACAUGCAAGUCGAACGGAGUUAAUAGCAAUAUUGACUUAGUGGCGAACGGGUGAGUAACGCGUUGGUGAUCUGCCUCGAAGUGUGGAAUAACGUUCCGAAAGGAACGCUAAUACCGCAUGUGCUCUCGAUUUUUAGAAAGUUGAGAGUAAAGGAUUUAUUCGCUUCGAGAGGAGCCUGCGUCCCAUCAGCUGGUUGGUAGGGUAACGGCCUACCAAGGCUAUGACGGGUAGGGGACCUGAGAGGGUGGCCCCCCACAAUGGAACUGAAACACGGUCCAUACACCUACGGGUGGCAGCAGUAGGGAAUAUUAGAAAUGGACGAAAGUCUGAUCUAGCAACACCGCGUGUGCGAAGAAGGCCUUCGGGUCGUAAAGCACUUUUUGGAAGGAAUAGGAAGGAAUGUACUUCCAGAAUAAGUCUCGGCUAACUACGUGCCAGCAGCCGCGGUAACACGUAGGAGGCGAACGUUAUCCGGAUUUACUGGGCGUAAAGCGCGUGUAGGUGGUACUGUAAGUAGGGCGUGAAAGCUCCCGGCUCAACUGGGAGAGGCCGUUCUAAACUAUAGAACUAGAGGAUGGUAGAGGGAGGUGGAAUUCCAGGUGUAGCGGUGGAAUGCGCAGAUAUCUGGAGGAACACCGGUGGCGAAGGCGGCCUCCUGGACCAUUCCUGACACUCAGACGCGAAGGCUAGGGUAGCAAACGGGAUUAGAGACCCCGGUAGUC